rnacentral:rRNA from 1 species
UACAGAGGGGGCAAGCGUUGUUCGGAAUUACUGGGCGUAAAGGGCGCGUAGGCGGUUCGAUAAGUCCCGUGUGAAAGCCCCCGGCUCAACUGGGGAACUGCACGGGAAACUGACGGACUUGAGUUCGGGAGAGGGAAGCGGAAUUCCGGGUGUAGCGGUGAAAUGCGUAGAUAUCAGGAGGAACACCAACGGCGAAGGCAGCACUCUGGGCCGGUACUGACGCUGAGGAGCGAAAGCGUGGGGAGCAAACAGG